GGUAGAGCACUGAAUGUCCUAGGGGGUAUUGCACCUACCGAAGACUAUCAAACUCCGAAUGCCGUCAUCUUAUACUUGGGAGUCAGACUGUGGGUGAUAAGAUUCAUAGUCGAAAGGGCAACAGCCCAGAUCGUCAGCUAAGGUCCCUAAAUGUAAGUUAAGUGGUAAAGGAUGUGGGAUUGCACAGACAACCAGGAUGUUGGCUUAGAAGCAGCCACUCAUUCAAAGAGUGCGUAAUAGCUCACUGGUCGAGUGAUCCUGCGCCGAAGAUUUCCGGGGCUAAAACUUACUACCGAAGCUACGGCAUCAGUAAUGAUGGGUAGGGGAGCUUCCCAUACGGGUUGAAGCAUGACCGUAAGGACAUGUGGACAGUAUGGGAGUGAGAAUGUUGGCAUGAGUAGCGAGAUGUGGGUGAGAAUCCCACAGGCCGUAAACCCAAGGUUUCCAGGGGAAGGUUCGUCCGCCCUGGGUUAGUCGGGACCUAAGCUGAGGCCGAAAGGCGUAGGUGAUGGACAACAGGUUGAUAUUCCUGUACUACCGAUAACCAUUUGAGAGAUGGGAUGACACAGUAGGAUAAGCUAAGCACACUGUUGGUUAUGUGUGCCCAAGCAUUGAGGCAGUCAAAGUAGGCAAAUCCGCUUUGAUAAUGCUGGGAUGUGAUGGGGAGCGAAAUUUAGUAGCGAAGUAGCUGAUUUCACACUGUCAAGAAAAGUCUCUAUCGAGGUUAAAGGUACCCGUACCGCAAACCGACACAGGUGGGUGAGGAGAGUAUCCUAAGGCCAGCGAGAGAACUGUUGUUAAGGAACUCGGCAAAAUGACCCCGUAACUUAGGGAUAAGGGGUGCCACCAUCAGGUGGCCGCAGAGAAUAGGCCCAAGCGACUGUUUACCAAAAACAUAGGUUUCUGCUAAGUCGCAAGACGAUGUAUAGGAGCUGACGCCUGCCCGGUGCUGGAAGGUUAAGGGGAUCUGUUAGAGUAAUCGAAGCAGUGAACUUAAGCCCCAGUAAACGGCGGCCGUAACUAUAACGGUCCUAAGGUAGCGAAAUUCCUUGUCGGGUAAGUUCCGACCCGCACGAAAGGCGUAACGAUUUGGGCACUGUCUCAACAACAGACUCGGUGAAAUUGUAAUUCCGGUGAAGAUGCCGGAUACCUGCGACAGGACGGAAAGACCCCAUGGAGCUUUACUGUAGCUUGACAUUGGGUCUUGGUACUACAUGUACAGGAUAGGUGGGAGGCUUUGAAACCAGGACGCCAGUUUUGGCGGAGCCAUCCUUGGGAUACCACCCUUGUAGUACUGGGACUCUAACCAUAGGCCAUGAAUCUGGUCUUGGGACACUGUCAGGUGGGCAGUUUGACUGGGGCGGUCGCCUCCCAAAAGGUAACGGAGGCGCUCAAAGGUUCUCUCAGUACGGUCGGAAAUCGUACGUAGAGUGUAAAGGCAAAAGAGAGCUUGAUUGCAAGACAUACAGGUCGAGCAAGGAUGAAAAUCGGACUUAGUGAUCCGGUGGUUCUGCGUGGAAGGGCCAUCGCUCAACGGAUAAAAGCUACCCUGGGGAUAACAGGCUUAUCUCCCCCAAGAGUCCACAUCGACGGGGAGGUUUGGCACCUCGAUGUCGGCUCAUCACAUCCUGGGGCUGUAGUAGGUCCCAAGGGUUGGGCUGUUCGCCCAUUAAAGUGGUACGCGAGCUGGGUUCAGAACGUCGUGAGACAGUUCGGUCCCUAUCCGUCGCAGGCGUAGGAAAUUUGAGAAGACCUGUCCUUAGUACGAGAGGACCGGGAUGGACGUACCUCUGGUGUACCAGUUGUCCUGCCAAGGGCAUGGCUGGGUAGCUAUGUACGGAAUGGAUAAGCGCUGAAAGCAUCUAAGCGCGAAGCCAACUUCAAGAUAAGAUUUCCCACCGCAAGGGUAAGACCCCAGAAAGACUAUCUGGUUGAUAGGUCGAAGGUGUAAGUGCAGCAAUGUAUUUAGCUUAUCGAUACUAAUAGGUCGAGGACUUGACCAA
rnacentral:rRNA from 1 species